AAUAACAAAUUUUCAGCAUUUCAGAUUUUGUUAUUUGCGUCGCAUUUUUAUUAUAAAGUGACGCAAAUAACUCUGUUGCACUUUAGGUUAUUCUUUUUUACCUUAGCUUUUCACGCCUACCUUUCACUAAUUCACUAAACAUAAAGAAAAAAAAAAUUGCAACAAAUUCAACAUCCAAAAUCGACCCUUCAAUCCAACAAAUUCGCCCAAAAAACACCCACAAAUUCGCCCAAAAAACUGCAAUUCCCCAGCAAAUUCAACAUCCAAAAUCGCAAUCAAGUUCAACACCCAUAAUCGGCAGCAAAUCCGAGCAAUUUCGAGCAAAAAUUUAGACCAAAAACCCUAAUUAAUUAGAAUCCUUAAACCCCAGAAAAAUUGAUUAUUUUCGACCAAAAAUCCCCCAUUUCGAGCAAAAAAUGUACUCAAUUCCAUACGAAUUCGAACCCUAGAAACCCCAAAAAAUUCAAUUAAAAAUCCUGCUGAAAAAUUCGAGCAAUAACUGAAAUUUUCGAGUGGAAAAUUCGUUGAAUUUUCGCCCCCAAAAACCCGAGGAAGUUCAAGCAAAUUACAGCAAUGUUGAAUUUUUGAAUUUUUGAGUGGAAAAAUCGCUUAAUUUCGUCCCCAAAAAUCGAUUUCGGCUCGACAUUGUUGAAUUUUUGAAAUCAAGUUCACCUAUGGCAUCAUCAUAAUGGGCGAUGGGUAGCACGAAUUGGGCGCGUUUAUGAGAACAAGUACCUCUACUUAGGCACUUUCAGAUUUUUCAAGAACUACACCGUACACCGAGGAGGAGAUAAAUGAGAUCUGAGAUAUUUGGGCAGAGUAUUUUAUAUGUAAUGUUGAACUUUAGAUUUACCACUUAGCACAUGUUUGACUCUUGUUUUGGAUUAUAGGCUUGAAAUGAAGUAAUUUGGUUAAUUGGUGUUGGGAUGGUGAGUAUAAUGUCUAUGAUAUUGAGAUGUAAAUUAUUGGACAGGUUGUUAAUAUAAUGUCGUCAUUCCCAAUUUUAUGGGUAGGCCAAAUUACAAAGGAGACUCUGCCGAAAUUUACAUUUGCAUUAUUCAAUAAUAUUGCAUUUUAAUUUCAA